AGGUAGGGUGGCCGACAGUUAGGUGGCAGGCUGUAGUCCUGCUAACAUGGGUUUAAAUCCUGKUUCUACC
rnacentral:tRNA from 1 species